UACGUAGGGUGCAAGCGUUGUCCGGAAUUAUUGGGCGUAAAGAGCUCGUAGGCGGUCUGUCACGUCGGCUGUGAAAGCCUGGGGCUCAACCCCGGGCCUGCAGCCGAUACGGGCAGACUAGAAUUCGGCAGGGGAGACUGGAAUUCCUGGUGUAGCGGUGAAAUGCGCAGAUAUCAGGAGGAACACCUAUGGCGAAGGCAGCUCGCUGGGACGUUACUGACGCUGAGACGCGAAAGCGUGGGGAGCAAACAGG
rnacentral:rRNA from 1 species